rnacentral:rRNA from 1 species
AUUGAACGCUGGCGGCAGGCCUAACACAUGCAAGUCGAGCGAGCGGCGGACGGGUGAGUAAUGUAUGGGGACUGCCCGAUAGAGGGGGAUCACUACUGGAAACUGUGUCUAAUACCGCAUACUAUCGGAUAACCCAUAUGGGAUUAGCUAGUAGGUGGGGUAAAGGCUCACCUAGGCGACGAUCUCUAGCUGGUCCGAGAGGAUGAACAGCCACACGAGGACUGAGACACGGGCCAGACUCUGACGGAGGAAGCAGGGGGGAAUAUGGCACAAUGGGCGCAAGCCUGAUGCAGCCAUGCCGCGUGUAUGAAGAAGGCCUUAGGGUUGUAAAGUACUUUCAGCGGGGAGGCGUUACCCGCAGAAGAAGCACCGGCUAACUCCGUGCCAGCAGCCGCGGUAAUAC